GGUUGUUUGGCAUUGUUGGUAGAGCAUGGUGUUUGCAACGCCAGGGUUGUGGGUUUGAUUCCCACGGGGGACCA
rnacentral:tRNA from 1 species